GGUUAUUUCAUGUGGUUGUUGAAAAUGAUGACAAGUCAACCGAGAUAAUUAAACACCUUAAUCAACAAAAAGGUGGGCGUGUUACAUUUAUUCCACUUAACAGAAUAAAUGCUCCUCGCGUCACUUAUCCAGAGUUCCGAUGUCAUACCUCUCUUUUAAAGAAAUUGAAUUUUAAACAUGACCACACUCCAGCAUUCAGGAAAUCAUGUUCAGAAUCAGGUUGAACAACUUAAGGGUAGCAUUGCUACGAAAAAAGCUGAGAUGGCACAGAGCUCAUUGAUCAUUUAACACCAGAGGAAAAACAGCUUUUGAUUUAAACCCCGAUAUCAAAAACCUUAAAGAGGAGCUUGUUACUUGCAAGAAUGAUUGCAUUUAGGUUAUUGAGCGAAUUAUAUUGAUGUUCAUAAUAUGUAUAGGGCUAUCUAUUGUCACCAUUUUAACUUCAAAUUUUGCAGAGUGAAGCACGGAAAACAGAGCAGGAAACUAAUCUAACCACUAAACAGAGUGAUAUCAUUUGAUGAUUAUGAGAUGGUUUUUGCUAAUUUUAUUGGACAUAAUAUGGGCAAACAAUAAAAAAAAAAUGCAUCUGUUGUAAAUACUUGAGAGGAUUAUAAAUUGUUGUUCU
rnacentral:lncRNA from 1 species